rnacentral:rRNA from 1 species
UUCUGCCCUAUGAUUAUUUAAAUGGCUGCAGUAUUCUGACUGUGCAAAGGUAGCAUAAUAAUUAGUCUUUUAAUUGAAGGCUUGUAUGAAUGAUUUAAUGAGGGAUUUAUUUUAUUUUUAUUAUUAUUAAAAUUUAAUUAAUAAGUAAAAAAGCUUGUUUGUUUUUUUGGGACGAUAAGACCCUAUAGAACUUUAAUUUAUAUAUAUAUAUAUAUUAAUUUGGUUUAUUUUAUUUAUUUUAUAUUUUAUUAAAAUUUUUGUUGGGGUGACAAAUAAAUUUUAACUUUAUUUAUUUAAUUCAUUGUAUUUAUGUUUAUUUAGAUCCAUUUAUAUAUGAUAAUAAGAUUAAGUUACCUUAGGGAUAACAGCGUAAUUUUAGUGGUAAGUUCACAUUUAUAUUAAAGUUUGCGACCUCGAUGUUGAAUUAAGAUAAGAUUGAGGGGUAG